AACGCAACUUGCGCCAUGUAUAUGGCAUGUCUGUUUGAGUGCCGCAAAAGACUUGUGUAAUGCGUAUUGACGGUUGUCUGUGCAUCUGUGCGGACUCUGUCUAAAUGCAGCCAGCAAUGUCGUGGACUGUGACGGUCCGAGUGCUAAGCAUUCUUGGUCUGAUCACAACUGCGGCCGAGGGUGGGUGAUUGUGUGCAAACCAUACCAUCACUCCCUAUCCCCUCCCCUACUUACUAUUGGCCUCAAAUCAGGCAGGAUCACCCGCUGAACUUAA
rnacentral:misc_RNA from 1 species